rnacentral:lncRNA from 1 species
AAAGAAUGCAGGGGAAGAGUACAAAAGCAUAGCUUGAAGCUGCGUUACAUUUCACACACAGAAAAAGUACUUCCUUUUUUAAUUUUGGAGACACCUCUGCUACAUUCAAAGCUGAAUUUUCUCUGAAGGUUCUUGUCUGAUUCACCUGAACUUUCUCAAAAGCAGGUAAUUAAAAUGCUUAGUUCUAAG